rnacentral:rRNA from 1 species
AAUGAACGCUGGCGGCGUGCCUAACACAUGCAAGUCGAGCGAGUGGAGUUCUUCGGAACAAAGCUAGCGGCGGACGGGUGAGUAACACGUGGGCAACCUGCCUCAUAGAGGGGAAUAGCCUCCCGAAAGGGAGAUUAAUACCGCAUAAGAUUGUAGCUUCACAUGAAGUAGCAAUUAAAGGAGCAAUCCGCUAUGAGAUGGGCCCGCGGCGCAUUAGCUAGUUGGUGAGGUAACGGCUCACCAAGGCGACGAUGCGUAGCCGACCUGAGAGGGUGAUCGGCCACAUUGGGACUGAGACACGGCCCAGACUCCUACGGGAGGCAGCAGUGGGGAAUAUUGCACAAUGGGGGAAACCCUGAUGCAGCAACGCCGCGUGAGUGAUGACGGCCUUCGGGUUGUAAAGCUCUGUCUUCAGGGACGAUAAUGACGGUACCUGAGGAGGAAGCCACGGCUAACUACGUGCCAGCCGCCGCAGUAAUAC